GGGCACAUGGUGUAGUUGGUUAUCACGCCCGCUUUGCAUUCGACCUGAUUUGAACUGCUCAGCUGCGGGUGGUCCUCGGUUCAAUUCCGGGUGUGUCCA